AGCUGCUUGGCCCUGGGUGUCAUCAGCGUCAUCCGGAUCGCUGCGGGGGUAGGAAUUGGCCCUCAUUUCGGUUUCUGUGAUGGUGCGGAGCGCGCGCGCCCAGGGACUCCUGUUGCCUCCCAGCCAAGGGCUUCUGAUCUCCUCAUCUCACUCUCGCGCGGCCCUGGCUACUACCCGGAGAAGGUGGACCUAAAGCAAAGGAUCCUUUGUUUGGUCUCACUUUGAUGGGAAGAAGGUGGCUUGGGCUGUGAGAGGACGUGAUGAUGUGGCCUGUGGUAUCCUGUUCAUAAAGUCCCAUCAGACUAUCUGGAUUGGUCUCUCUGCUACAGCUGUUGGACCAUUAGUUCCAUGCCCAGGAUUGCCACAGCUGCCCUACACAGAUGCUGGAUUCAUCAUUUGUUGGCAGCCCUUGGUGGGAAGAGGAUGGCUUGGGCUCUGAGAGGAAGUGGAGAUGUGGCCUGUGGUUCUGCUGUUUCUCAUUCUCUUUGUCAUAUCUGCCUGAUUAUCAUAGACAACAUGUGGGAUAUGCUGUUUCAAAAGUUGCCAUUCAAAAAAUUUGAAGUUUAGGAUAUUUCCUUCCUCCAGAAGUACUUUCAUUAACUUGGUAACCGUAAGUCCAGAAUUGCUUAUUUCCAUUUUAGGAGUUAAGAUAUUUGGGGCCAUGCAGAAGCCUUGAGGCUGGGCUGCAGUGGGUCUGAAGAUGGUUUCCUCCAGGUCACCCUUCCUCUGAGGGUCCAGUCCUUCAGGAUCACUCCCCAAAGGGCAGGGAAUUUAUCCCGGUCCCUCCUUUUGGCAGGGCCUGGAAUUCAAUAUCUUCUUGCUUUACUCCAGGAAGCUAUCCAAACCUGCAUGAGUCACUAGGGGAAGUGUCCCAUUCUUGAUCAAAAUACUGCUGACAUCAUCGCCAUACCACUCUAUCACAACUAGGAAGCCAUCAAGUGAGGCUAGGAAACCACCAUAAUCAGUAUCUCACCACAAUAGCCACAGCUCUACUGCUGGCUCUGGAAUCACACUGUGCCUGUAAGCAUCUGUACCCUCAGAGUGGAUGCCACAGGCCCUGCUCUCAACCUUACCAAGCCAGUGACUACAGCCCAGAACCUCUGUUAAUGGUGCAGCAAAGAAACCACAUGUCUUCACAACCAGUGUGGCAUCAGAAAAAACAGAUGCCUGGCCUCUGCUCCAGUUCUGCCACAUUUGAUUGACAGAAUCAAAACACCUCCAGGAGUUAGGUUGCAAAGGAGUCUGGGAAAUGCAGCAUUUAGCUUUUGUGAUUUCUGUGGUAUAGAAGGUAGAAGAAAGAAGAAACUGGAUGUCCUGCUCUUGUUUCCCCUGUCCACCCUUCAGUUGAAAUGCAAUUUUGUUACAGUUUGAAAACCUGCAAAAAUAAUGUAUAUCUUGCUUAUUGACUUUUGAUUAUACUAGGUACAGUAUAUCUAUAUACCUUUACCUGUAUAUCUCCAUACACAGUUACCAAAAAGGCAGCAAGAUCAGUAGUGAUUUGAAGCAUGGGUUCCAGAUUCAGCUGGUGUUCAAAUCUGUGUUUGUAUGUGAUGUGAGUACCUAUGUUUUCUCAACCUCUCUCCCAGAUAUUUUAUUUCCCUAUCUCUAAAGUAAGUGGAAGGACAAUCUACCUUGAAAUAGUGUUGUCAUGCUCAAAUAAAAUAAUACAUGCAAUCAUCUAAGUGUAGUGCCUAGCUCAUGAUUCCAUGAAGUAAACUGCAGUUCUUUUGUUAUGAGUAGGAGAAGAUCGAGGUGGUAAAAUGAACUGAUAUCAUCUUGACAAGUCACUUAAUUUUCUUUAGGUCAUUAUGUUGUGGUCUUUCAGAUAAGGAAGUUGUCCUCAACAAUCU
rnacentral:lncRNA from 1 species